UACGUAGGUGACAAGCGUUGUCCGGAUUUACUGGGCGUAAAGAGCGCGCAGGCGGUCGUUCAAGUCGAGUGUGAAAGCCCCGGCUCAACUGGGGAGGUCAUUCGAUACUGAUCGACUCGAAGGCAGGAGAGGGAAGUGGAAUUCCCGGGUGUAGUGGUGAAAUGCGUGAGAUAUCGGGAGGAACACCAGUGGCGAAGGCGGACUUCCUGGCCUGUUCUUGACGCUGAGGCGCGAAAGCUAGGGGAGCAAACGGG
rnacentral:rRNA from 1 species